rnacentral:rRNA from 1 species
UGGGGGAUAUUGGACAAUGGGGGGAACCCUGAUCCAGCGACGCCGCGUGAGUGAAGAAGUAUUUCGGUAUGUAAAGCUCUAUCAGCAGGGAAGAAAGAAAUGACGGUACCUGAGUAAGAAGCCCCGGCUAACUACGUGCC